GGGAGCGUAGCUCAAUGGACAGAGCACCGAUCUUCUAAAUCGGGUGUUGUAGGUUCAAGUCCUACCGUUCCCG
rnacentral:tRNA from 1 species